UUUUUUUUUAUCUUGGUAAUAAACUGGGCUUUUAUCCAAUGACUGCAUCAAUACAAUAAAGUAGCAUUGCAUCGUAAUGCAUACAAAUGAAAUUAGCUACUAAGCCACCAAAUAGAAAAGCAAGUUCUACCAUACCAGCGUACUAGCUUUGCUUAGCUGAACUUUUUGGCUUUUGACCUGUUGUAAGAUCAAAAUAACUUCCCAAGCACAUACUUUUUCAAGAAGUGGUGGUAGAUUCUACGAGGUCCUUAAUGGUAAUGGCCAGUUCUUUAGCCUUGGAGGGAUCUCCAAACUCAUACCCAUGACAUCCUCCCUCAUCAAACUUACCUGCUACCGGUACACCAUUCUCUUCUAAUUUCUUCCAAAGCUCAAUCUGGCGGUCUAUUAACAGAUCACCGUCACAGCCAGUGACCAAAAUCUUCCACCCUAGAGAUUUGACCUGAUCAAAUUGGUCUGGCUUAAUCUUCGCCAUUGGAUUGCAAUACUCAUGAUCGCGGUCAACGCCGAUUGGCAAGCUCAGAUCCCACAACAGAUCACUUAAUGUCAACGGUACAACCCUGUCCUUGGCGAGCCUCAACUCUGAUUCAGUCCUCUCGAUCCCACCAAAGUAUGGCUGAUGCAAUAUCAACCCUUUGAUCUGCAGAGGCAGGAGUUCGUCAACACACGCAGCUACAUGGAGGCCAACAUGAUAAGCUAUGUUACCACCAGCGCUACUGCCCAUCAAGAAAGCCUUAGACAAGUCAGCAUGUUUUUCCAGCCAUUCAUCGUUGGAGUUUUGAUGAUCCAAUGCAAGGCUUCGAAGCAAUCUUCAUAAGCUGCAGGAAGUCGGUGCUCCGGAGCAAGACGGUACUCGACGGAGACUACGACAGCCGGAAUUUCAGUAACAAUUGGAGUGUACAAAGCAUCAAACCUGGCUGUAUUUACACUACACGCCACGAAGCCUCCGGCAUGAAAAUAAAUAAUGAGGGGCAAUUUUUGUUUAGGGGAGGAAUCAUCAUCAUCAAACGCUUUCCGCGGAACGAAUAUUCGAGCCCAGGUGCCCUUCGAUUGGUUUAUGUCCAAGUCCUUUGAAAGAUGAAAAGGGCUGCUAGGAUCGGACGAGGCAGGUGUGCUCGGUGGUUGAAACAGGCGUGUGAUUGAGCCAUCGGGAUUUUUUGCCAAUCCAUGUAGCCAUAGGGGUUUUCAUUAGGAUCAACUGGCUGCUGAACUUGAUCUGACAUGAUGGUUUUCUUGGACAGAUGUUUUGUGGGUAGGAAAGGAUAGAAGGUAUAUUUGUAGAGGCAGCAGAGUCUUGAUAGUUUUCUCUCUGGCUGCGUUGGCUGAUAGGAUUUGUAGUUUAGACGAUUAGUAUAAGUGUUUGCCUCACACUCUCAUACACAAGAACGCCGUUCUAUCUGCUAAUUUGUCGUACAACAUGUAGCAAUUGAUUGAACUUUGAAGAUCAGUCAAUAAGUGCUAAGUGCCAACAACUCCUUUUGUUUUUUUAUUAUUUUUUUAUUUGACCGAGGAGUGGAAUAAUAGUUUUCAAACUUCCCGGGAAGAUGAAAAUAUUGACCACUUCUUCAACUUGAGACUGGAGACCGUCAAAUUUGGCAAUUGAAUUUCGAUUAUUAUUAAUUAGACCGAGGACUCGAGGGCUCUUAAGAAGCCCAAAAGUUGAAAAAGAAGUAAAAUCUGGGAGGGUUCCAACUUAUAAGUUCAAGGUGAUUUUGGAACGUCCCCGGUAGCACAGAAGGAGAUUUUGGGAGCAGAUAUUUUGGGAGUUGUUACCCCUAGGGGUGAUUUCUUCUAAAGGGGGUUUGUCAUUUCUUAUCUCUACAAUAAUAAAGUUUGUGUCGGUAUUAACUUUGUUUGUUUUCAAAUUUAUUUUUAUCUCUAUUUUUUUAAUGAUUAGCUUCUCCAUUAAUCAUUAUUUCUAUUAUCAACUGAAACACAAAUUUUAUCCAAUCAAAAUUAUCUCCCUUCAAUUCUCACAUUCUCCCUUACUAAUGCGUUUUUUACUUCCAAUUGUACAUAUUUCUGUAUAAUACACUUUUUUCACAUAUUACAUAAAAUAGUUACGCUCAUUUGCACUAUUUUUGUAAUUCUUUCAAUUAAAAAUAUUUUUUGACAAAUUGCACACGCAUUAAGUGUGCCUCGAUGACUAGUAGUAACUAAUAAUGAUGAAUAAAGGGAUAGUUUAUUAGUUUUACAAUUUUUUGGACGAUUUUCUCUAUCUUCCAAACAUCCAAGUAAACUGGCACAACAAUUUGAGUUCAAUUUUUAUUAUAAACUCCACCCAAAAUAUUCUUGUUUAUUGGUACAUCAGGUAAAAUGCGGUGAAGUUGACCUCUAUUGUUGCAUAAUUAUAUUUCAGUUGUAUAAAAUUGAAAAGACAAGAUGAAAAAUAUAGGACAUGGAUAUUAUUAUUGACACAGAAAAUCAUUCAACAGAUAUAUUACUUUUCAUUUAGAUGUGAUUAGACUUUAUUUUUUCCACUCAACAUGCUAGUUGAUGCACCUCUACUUUCCGUAAAGUUGCAACCUCCUGUCGAGUACAGAUGAAAUGUAGAAAAUGGAAUUUUACAAAAGAAAAAGACAGCUAAGGAACGAAAAAGAUGGGGAAAAAAAAUUUAGGCAACAUGAAAGCCGAUAUAGUUUUUUUUAUUUUAUAAAUAAAAAGUUUUGAAUUCAGAAUCUCUUACUUGUAAUUCUUUCCGAACACUAGUCGUAUAAGUUUUGUAUAACUGAUACAACUAUCAUCCCGUUACACUACCAUACAAAUCCAAGACCUAAUUGUAUUAUUAUCUCUUUGAAAACAGAAGGGCACAGACAAUUUUAUCACUCAUGUAACUAGAUGACAAUUUUGGGACAAGAAAAGUCCAAAUAUUACUACAUCAAAAGUCCAGCUCACUCGAUAUAAUCAAAAGUAGUCCAUACUGCACACAAAUGAAAUUAGCUAGUAAGCCACCAAACAGAAAAGCUAGUUCUACCAUACCAGCGCACUAGCUUGGCUUAGCUGAACUUUUUGGCUUUUGACCUGUUGUAAGAUCAAAAUAGCUUCCCAAAGCACAUACUUUUUCAAGAAGUGGUGGUAGAUUCAACAAGGUCUUUAAUAACAAUGGCUAGUUCUUUAGCCUUUGUGGGAUCUCCAAGCUCAUACGCAUGAGCUCCUCCCUCAUCAAACUUGCCUGUCACCGAUACACCUUUCUCUUCUAAUUUCUUCCAAAGCUCAAUCUGCCGAUCUAUCAUCAGAUCACCAUCAAAGCCAGUGACCAAAAUCUUCCACCCCAGAGAUUUGACCUGAUCAAAUUGGUCUGGCUUAAUCUUCGCCAUUGGAUUGCAAUACUCAUGAUCGCGGUCAACGCCGAUUGGCAAGCUCAGAUCCCACAUCAGAUCAGUUAACGACAGCGGUACAAACCUGUCGUUGGCGAGCCUCAACUCUGACUCAGUCCUCUCGAUCCCACCAAAGAAUGGUUGAUGCAUUAUCAACCCUUUGAUCUGCAGAGGCAGAGAUCGUCAACACAUGCAGCUACUUGGAGGCCAACAUGAUAAACAAUGUUACCCAACCAGCUACUGCCCAUCAAGAAAGCCUUAGAAAAGUCAGCAUGUUUUGACCACCUCGUCGUUGGAGUUUUUGAUGAUCCAAUGCAAGCUUCGAAGCAAUCUUCAUAAGCUGCAGGAAGUCGGUGCUCCGGACCAAGACGGUACUCGACGGAGACAACUACAGCCGGAAUUUCAGUAACAAUUGGAGUGUACAAAGCAUCAAACAUGGCUGUAUUUACGCUACACGCGACGAAACCUCCAGCAUGAAAAUAAAUAAUGAGGGGCAAUUUUGUUUAGGGGAGGAAUCAUCAUCAUCAAAUGCUUUCCGAGGAACGAAUAUUCGAGCCCAGGUGCCCUUCGAUUGGUUUAUGUCCAAGUCCUUUGAAAGAUGAAAAGGGUUGCUGGAUCGGACGAGGCAGGUGUGCUCGGUGGUUGAAACAGGCGUGUGAUUGAGCCAUCGGGAUUUUUUGCGAUUCCCAGGUAGCCAUAGGGGUUUUCAUUAGGAUCAACUGGCUGCUGAACUUGAUCUGACAUGAUGGUUUUCUUGGACAGAUGUUUUUUUGUAGAUAUAAAGGAAGAUAAUUGUAGAGUUUAUAAGGUAUUUGUAGAGCCUUGCCAGCUAGUUUGACGUUUACUCUCGUUGCUCUUGAUAAUGACUUGUACUAUAUGGGAUUAACAUUCCUAUGACAUAAUUUAUCCUAACCUUGGAAAGGGAAAAUCGAUGAAAGUAAAAAUUUCAUCAGAUAAAGUCAUUGAAGACAGCUACAUACAGUGAUAAUUUGAUGGAAGGUAAAGAUUAAACCCUUCACAUUCCAACAUCACCAAAAUUUAAGUGCUUGACAGUGACCACCAGGCAAAGGACCGGUAGCUCACUUCACAAGAACGCUAAUUUAUUAUAUAACCGUUUGGUUGACUUCUGAUGGAGAAAUCGAUUAAAAACCAGCUGAUUUACUCCUAGUGCUGUAACUUAAAUUUUCCUGUCUGCAUUCGAUGAGUUUUGAUCCAACAAAAAAUUGGGAUUUUCGCUGUGACUUGUGGACAUUGGGGAUUUGGCCCCAUUGGUGGAGUUGUUGGAAUAUUAAUAACUGCUAAUUACUCCUUUGUUUGUAGUGGUUCGAUUUGAACGAAGAGUCAAACAAUAGCUUUCAAACUUCCGUGGAGGGUGAAAUGUUGACCACUUCUUGAACUUAGACUAGAGACUAUCAUUUUCUUUUUUUUUUUUUUGGCGGUAACAAUAACACUUGUAUAACUUGCUUUAACUUAUUUUAGUAAGAGGGAAAGCCUAACCGACAGAGUUGGAUUUCGCUCUGAAGAAGUCACUUGAAAGUGAUAAACACAAUUAAAUUAAAUGAGUAUAUGAUGAGAGGCAAGAGUUAACUUCCACUCCCACCAAAAUUAAAAUCUCAACUUCCAACAAACCACUUGAAAGUGAUAAUCAAAAUUAAAUGAGUAUACGAUGAGAGGCAAGAGUUAACUCCCUCUCCCAUCAAGACUAAAGGUUUAGUGGUGAUAAGCAACUUCCAACAACCUCAACCCAAGAGGUUGUUGGCUUCAUAUUUCGUUGGUAGUCGAAUCCGAUCCUUCCAUCUAUCAUUGGACUGAGGAGGGUUCAAGCCCAGAACUUGAGAGAAAAGUAAAAUUUGGGGGCAGUUCUUCUAUCUUCCAAGUUCAAGUUUCAAGAUUCAAUCUACUUGGGAGAUCCUCUCGGGCCACUGAAGAGAUUUUGGGAUCUGCUGUUUCGGGGUUGUUACCUACCCCAGCCCCCAGGUUGUUUUCUUCUUAAAGGGCCUUUGUCGCACGUUAUAAACCAAACAAAGAAACAAAAUUUAUAGGGAAAAUUACUGUGUUAGUCCUAAUGUACAGCCCUCUACAGUUUUAGUUCUUAAAAGUUUGAUAAAAAAAAAAAAAUUGAUCCCUAAUGUUUUAUAUAUGUAUAGUUUUGGUACCUAAAGUUUGGGCAAGAACAUAUCUGGUUCUCAAUGUAUCCAAUUUAAAGCAGAUUGAUUUAGGACAAUUGAUAAAUUUUUACUGACAUAUUUAGUCAUUAGCAAUCAUGAGUCCAUUAAGUUGAAUUCUAAAAUAAGGGUAAAUUACACUAACUUGAAUUUUAAAAUAAGGGUAAAUUACACUGACUUCCUCUCUAGUUUCUGCAAAAGUUACACACCUCCCUUCUUGAUUUUUUUUUUUUUUUUUUUUUGAUAAUACCUCCCUUCUUGAUUUUAAAAUUACAGGGAUCUCACCUCUAAAUCACUAUAUAAUGUUGAUUACUUCCCCUACUGUUAACCAGAUAAUGAAAGUCAAUUUGUAUUGCCAUUAAUAUCCUCCCACAUUCCCAAAAUGCCCUAGGUUGACAUUGUUUUUCUUUUCUACAAAAUUGAAAAAUCUGAUUGCAAGAUUUUUUUUUUUUUCUUUAGCUCUUAUGGUAGUAUGAAACACAUCCUAGCAUUUUGUAGAAAAUAUCCAAUUUAGAUCCAACAGAAUUGGAGGCUUCAACCGCUGAUAUAAAUCUCAGGCUCAUUCACUAGGCUAAAAGGACUAUAUUUCCCUUUCCAUAUUGAUAUCUGCCAUUUGUAAUGUAGUUAUUAUACUCGACUCGACCUGACAGUUGAAUUGGUCAACUUGAUGAAUCAGCCACCGAACCGGCUGGGUUAGUAAUUAGAUUGGAUAAUGGAAGAUCCCAAUCCCAUUGAUUAGUUAAUGAUGCAGUGGGGUUGCUGGAAUUUGAAUCCAAGACUAGUCGGGUCCAUGUGUUUCUUUUCGAAUAGGAAAUAGUUCAACCAAAAAAAUCUCACAAAUCCAACAACGAUUGGACCACCGGUUCGACCACUAAUUCAAUUAUUUAUUAUUUUUAAUAACUCAAACUUUUCAUUUUAAUUUCAUCAUUUUUCUUGCUAUAGUAUUUCCUUUUUAUAAUAAAUUUUUAGAAUUUUUGAAAAACAUUAUUUGUCAAAAUUUGCUUAUCACUUUUGAUGAACGAUCAAUAUACCGCAGCCAAGGUAGGUGGAACAAUUGAGUCGGUGACCGCGACUGCAACUGCCAUGGCAAAUCAGGUCCCAACCCUGAUUAAGCCAUUAGGAUUAAGGUCUAUGUCACUUAAUUCGUGGAUGGAUCAAUUCCAUUUAUGGUAGAUUUCUUGUAUAUGAGUGUAUAUGAAGACAUUCCAAGGUUUAUGCGGUGGUAGACCUGGCGGUCCAUCCUGUGUAGGUUUUCGGUGGUUGUGAGCAAUUGAAACAUGGCCAGGUAACAUCAGGUCACCAUCCAGUUGAACUCUAUAUGUUGGCCAGAAGUAAAAGAAUAAUACGCAUGAUGUUGUAGGUCCUAGUAAUGGUUAUUGGUUAAUAUCAUAUAUUUGAUAUUUUCUCGACUGCUAGCACCAUGAUUUGAGUCUCAACCCCGGUUUAGACCAGUUGAGAUUCUAAUUCAAUGUCAAUUCCACUUAUCACGUGAUGAUAGAAGAAAUUUAAAUAAACAGCACAUGACAAGUUAAAUAAACAAAACACUUGGUAUAAAUAUAGAAGUGAUACUGAAUUGCUACCGGAAAAGUGGCAUUGAGAAUCCCACGUGGGCUUAGACACCCCAAAUAGGAGAACAUAUGAAGCAUGAAAAAUAUUUUGAUCAGCAUUGUCAUGUUUGAAUAUCUUGAAGAGUUUAACACGUAAAGAUCGAUCAAAGAGUAGCUCAAACUUGUGUAGAAGUUUAACCCUGGUAUCUGAAAUCAAUGGCCUUGCUUUGGAAGCAAGUUUUUAGCUAAGUUUGUCUGCUACAAGUUUUUUAAUAACUUUAGUUAUAGUGACCUUAAAAAACUUUUCAAAAUUUUUAAAUUAUACACUUCAAAAUAUUAAAAAAUUUACACACUUCAAAAAUUUACCUACAACUUCUACAGUGAGUUACAAUAAAAUUUUAGACAAACACCCAAAAAACUCACUUGCCAAACGGAGCCAAUGUCUGAAAAACCAGUGUUAGAGGAGAGUUACCCGACUCUUCAAAACUUCCAGUAGAUUUGUAGUUAUCCAACUCAACAAAAACAGAGGAGUUACCAGAGGGUUGAGGUGCAUGAGAUAUCGGAUUAAAAUUUAUUUCCAUGAUACGGAUUUAGAAGUUUGAUACAGAUAUAACCUGGGUUUAAACCCGACUAGAUCUAAAAGUUGUAAUUGUAAACCUGAAAGUUUUUGAAGAAAAUAAAGAACACAAAACCACUGACUAAAUUUGAGAGUAACCUGUUGUAAGAUAUCCCAAGCACAGACUUUUUCAAGAAGCGGUGGCAGAUUCUACGAGGUCCUUAAUGGUAAUGGCCAGUUCUUUAGCCUUGG
rnacentral:lncRNA from 1 species